AGCAGCCGCGGUAAUUCCAGCUCCAAUAGCGUAUAUUAAAGUUGUUGCAGUUAAAAAGCUCGUAGUUGAAUUUCGGGAUCAGUAUGUUGGUCGUGCUUCGGUACGUACUGUCAUUACUGGUUUCUACCUUCUGAAGAACCUUGAUGUCAUUAAUUUGGUGUCUUGGGGAAUCAGGACUGUUACUUUGAAAAAAUUAGAGUGUUUAAAGCAAGCAUACGCUUGAAUACAUUAGCAUGGAAUAAUGAAAUAGGACGUUUGAUUCUAUUUUGUUGGUUUCUAGGAUCGACGUAAUGAUUAAUAGGGAUAGUUGGGGGCAUUAGUAUUCAAUUGUCAGAGGUGAAAUUCUUGGAUUUAUUGAAGACUAACUACUGCGAAAGCAUUUGCCAAGGAUGUUUUCAUUAAUCAAGAACGAAAGUUAGGGGAUCGAAGACGAUCAGAUACCGUCGUAGUCCUAACCAUAAA
rnacentral:rRNA from 1 species